CCUACGGGAGGCAGCAGUGAGGAAUAUUGCUCAAUGGACGAGAGUCUGAACCAGCCAAGUAGCGUGAAGGAUGACUGCCCUAUGGGUUGUAAACUUCUUUUAUAUGGGAAUAAAAUGUUCCACGUGUGGGCUUUUGUAUGUACCAUAUGAAUAAAGAUCGGCUAACUCCGUGCCAGCAGCCCCGGUAAUACGGAGGAUCCGAGCGUUAUCCGGAUUUAUUGGGUUUAAAGGGAGCGUAGGCGGAUUCUUAAGUCAGUUGUGAAAGUCUGCGGCUCAACCGUAAAAUUGCAGUUGAAACUGGGAGUCUUGAGUACAGUAGAGGUGGGCGGAAUUCGAGGUGUAGCGGUGAAAUGCUUAGAUAUCACGAAGAACUCCGAUUGCGAAGGCAGCCCAUUGGACUGGAACUGACACUGAGGCUCGAAAGUGUGGGUAUCAAACAGGAUUAGAUACCCCAGUAGUC
rnacentral:rRNA from 1 species